GGAUGCGAUCAUACCAGCACUAAAGCACCGGAUCCCAUCAGAACUCCGAAGUUAAGCGUACUUGGGUGAUAGUAGUACUAGGAUGG
rnacentral:rRNA from 1 species